rfam:Ricinus communis ctg_1100012357176, whole genome shotgun sequence.
AGAAAGAGAGUCUGUCAAAUAAGCCAAGAUGACUGCCUGAAAACCUACAUAAGGGUUACAUAUAUAUAAUGUAAAGCAUAACCCAAAUAGUUAUAGGAGCAGGCAAGUCAUUCUUGGCUAUCAAACAAGACUCUUUUUC